UCCCUAGUAAGCGCAAGUCAUCAGCUUGCGUUGAUUACGUCCCUGCCCUUUGUACACACCGCCCGUCGCUACUACCGAUUGAAUGGCUCAGUGAGGCUUCCGGACUGGCCCAGGGAGGUCGGCAACGACCACCCAGGGCCGGAAAGCUAUCCAAACUCGGUCAUUUAGAGGAAGUAAAAGUCGUAACAAGGUCUCCGUUGGUGAACCAGCGGAGGGAUCAUUACAGAGUUGCAAAACUCCCAAACCAUUGUGAACGUUACCCAUCCCGUUGCUUCGGCGGGCGGCCCGGGCCCCGCGCCCGGCGCCCCCCGGCCCCUCGCGGGCGCCCGCCGGAGGUAAACCAAACUCUUGAACUGUAUGGCCUCUCUGAGUCUUCUGUACUGAAUAAGUCAAAACUUUCAACAACGGAUCUCUUGGUUCUGGCAUCGAUGAAGAACGCAGCGAAAUGCGAUAAGUAAUGUGAAUUGCAGAAUUCAGUGAAUCAUCGAAUCUUUGAACGCACAUUGCGCCCGCCAGUAUUCUGGCGGGCAUGCCUGUUCGAGCGUCAUUUCAACCAUCAAGCCCCCGGCUUGUGUUGGGGACCUGCGGCUGCCGCAGGCCCUGAAAACCAGUGGCGGGCUCGCUAGUCACUCCGAGCGUAGUAGUUACAUCUCGCUCAGGGCGUGCUGCGGGUUCCGGCCGUUAAACGCCUUAUUUACCCAAGGUUGACCUCGGAUCAGGUAGGAAGACCCGCUGAACUUAA
rnacentral:rRNA from 1 species